UACGAAGGGGGCUAGCGUUGCUCGGAAUCACUGGGCGUAAAGCGCACGUAGGCGGAUUGUUAAGUCAGGGGUGAAAUCCUGGAGCUCAACUCCAGAACUGCCUUUGAUACUGGCGAUCUUGAGUCCGGGAGAGGUGAGUGGAACUGCGAGUGUAGAGGUGAAAUUCGUAGAUAUUGGGAAGAACACCGGUGGCGAAGGCGGCGCUCUGGACCGAGACUGACGCUGAGGAGCGAAAGCGUGGGGAGCGAACAGG
rnacentral:rRNA from 1 species